rnacentral:pre_miRNA from 1 species
CGAAAUCCUACAGGAGCGACAUGAGACCACAUGAACAAGGCAUUCUGCAUUUCUGCACCUUCCCAAAACAAAUCACCAUUUUUAUGGGUGAUUUGAUUUGGGUUCGGGUUUUCUGGGUAGGUUGCUAUCAAGUGCUGCUCAUGUGUUCUCAGGUCGCCCCUGCCGGGCUUCA